UGUUGUGAAUGACUGGUCUCAAUUUGUUGAUAAGGAGGGCCUCCAUGAUUUUGGGAUUGCCCUUGCUGCAUGGAGUGGCCCUGAUGGAUACCUUAAAGCCCUGGAUCUGCCUGGCCGGCAUUGAGCAAGGACGUGUCUAGCUGUCUCUCUCCAUCUUUCGAACUCACGCUAGACAGCUCACAACAACAUACCAACGUCCCAACAACCAUGUUCUCACACACAGAAGGCGUCUCAACAACCAAGAGUAAAGCUGUAUAUUUUCCACCAUAAAUAAAUAUUGUUGAGUUGAUA